rnacentral:antisense_RNA from 1 species
GAUAUCCAAAAAUGACUGCUGGAUUGAGUGUUGGAUUGGUAAUGACUCGUACAUUUUCGAUGUUUGGAUCGUACAAGCCACCGUAGUACAUUGCUUUAGCUACCAGAAGAAAUGCUCCGAAUCCCAGCAAAAUCAAAUGGAUUCCAAGGAUUGUGGUCAUUUUGUUAGUAUCAGCCCA